rnacentral:rRNA from 1 species
UACGAGGUGGACAAACGUUAUUCGGAUUUACUGGGCUUAAAGCGUGCGUAGGCGGCUCAGAAAGUUGGGUGUGAAAGCCCUCGGCUCAACCGAGGAAUUGCGCUCAAAACUACUGAGCUUGAGUGAGAUAGGGGAGAGCGGAACUGAUGGUGGAGCGGUGAAAUGCGUUGAUAUCAUCAGGAACACCGGUGGCGAAGGCGGCUCUCUGGAUCUUACCUGACGCUGAGGAACGAAAGCCAGGGGAGCGAACGGG